rnacentral:SRP_RNA from 1 species
GCAUAUUAUAUAAAAAGCACCCUGCGAAAUAUCCUUGCAUUUAUCCCGACUUUCCUGUAUAAUAAUAAACACGUUGGGUGUGCGCAUUGUACCUGUAUCGGGUUCUGCGCGAUAAGGUACUGUGAACCAUGUCAGAUUCGGAAGAAAGCAGCAUUAAGCAGUUCACCUUAUGCGCCGCAGUAAGGCCGGAUACAGGUACAAUGCGCGCACCCGAUUAUUAUUUACACAGGAGGUCGCUUAUGC